rnacentral:misc_RNA from 1 species
GAUGAAGAACGUAGCGAAAUGCGAUAAGUAAUGUGAAUUGCAGAAUUCAGUGAAUCAUCGAAUCUUUGAACGCACAUUGCGCCCGCCAGUAUUCUGGCGGGCAUGCCUGUUCGAGCGUCAUUUCAACCAUCAAGCCCCCGGCUUGUGUUGGGGACCUGCGGCUGCCGCAGGCCCUGAAAAGCAGUAGCGGGCUCGCUGUCACACCGAGCGUAGUAGAUUUCAUCUCGCUCAGGGCGUGCUGCGGGUUCCGGCCGUUAAACCACCUUCAUAACCCAAGGUUGACCUCGGAUCAGGUAGGAAGACCCGCUGAACUUAAGCAUAUCAAUAAGCGGAGGA